GGCUUUCCAUCAACUUAACAAUCACAACGUACAAGUAUAAAGAGGUGAAAAUCCCGUAUUUCUGAGCAUUUUGUAAGAAGAAGUUUGAUCAGAAUGAACCAUCUGAGAGUUGUAGUGUGUAUUGGGUUAGUUUUAACUCUACAAUUAGUCGGACAGACCCAUGCCAUAUGGGGUUUAGAUGGCGCCAGCGGGAAAAGAACCUUCACACAAAAUAUCAAGGCAACCCUACUGGCUCGGAAGCUAUGUGCAUCAGAUAUGAGUGAAGCAGAAUGUAGAACAAUCAUAGAGUCCUACUACAAACAAAGGAGAGGAAUAUUUCGAUUGGACACGAUGGGAAGAAAGAACCAUUAGCCAGUAAAGACCAAGGAACAGAUCGAUAUCAUUCAGUUUUCAUGGCAAGCAUUCAUCAGAGAGGAAUCAAGUGUGUUGGUCGUUGAAAAUUGAACACAGAAACCUAUUUUUGUUUGAUGGAUUAAUGCAUCUCUUUGUAAAAGUGAUUUUGACUUUUUAAGUUUGAAAAAAACCUUUGCUUUUCCCACUGCUAAACAAUGUAGAUAUGUCAUUUGCAAAGAGAAUAAAUACUAUAAAAGAUUGCAAA